rnacentral:rRNA from 1 species
UACGUAGGGUGCAAGCGUUGUUCGGAAUUAUUGGGCGUAAAGAGCGUGUAGGUGGUUAGGUAAGUUGGGUGUGAAAUCCCUCGGCUCAACCGAGGAAGUGCAUCCAAAACUGCAUAGCUUGAGGGCGGCAGAGGGAGGUGGAAUUCCUAGUGUAGAGGUGAAAUUCGUAGAUAUUAGGAGGAAUACCGGUGGCGAAGGCGGCCUCCUGGACCGUUCCUGACACUGAGACGCGAAAGCGUGGGUAGCAAACAGG